CAAGGUACGAGGACGAAGCGCUUGCGUACCUCGCGAUACACAAAGACAAAUACAAACCGACGGAAUAUUAUUCAAUCUCUCGAAUCAGCGUACUACUGAACGUCAUACGACGCGUAGACACGGAAAAACGAAAACCGCAACGGCGUACCAAACCAUGUGGAAAACGGAACUGCGGGACGAGCGCGAAAGCAGAUGUCGACGGUCUGAC